GUGGAGUUAUGAGAGGUCUAUGGUACAGUUUCCGGCAACACAACAGCCCGAAGGUAUCGAAGCACGGCAAGUUAUAUGGACGACAAUACAUCGGUGGCGGCCCGUGGCCUGGCAAUGUAGGCGCUGCACAUUGGAGGAUACUUCAAAAGGGGAGCUUCUCAAGCAUUACCAAGUCAAGCACAGUAUUUAUGGAUGUGGCUGAGCUGAACCAAAACCAACUAAUCACCAAUUAAAGAAGAGAGACAGCCCAGUCAUUAAGGACUUCAUGUGCAGAAUUUUUUGCACAUAGAGGAACAUACGACAUACACAUGAGCAUCAGUGACAUGAAGCACAGGUGGCCUACCUUGUUUAAUGUCUCACAGGUGAGUAUUUGGAUCUUUUGUGUUAAACACAUUAAGGACUGUAAACAACUACUGUAUGUUUCACAGUUAUACUUAAGUAUGCACUUCACUUUUUGUUGUCACUGGUUCUUUUGUCUCUUCUUUCAUAUCUCUCUUUCAGGAGAGGAAGGUGCCAGAAGGGAGGUGAAAGGACACCAAAACUGAUGUCCUUGUUUCCAGCAAGGAAAAGCGAUGUCAGAGCAACAAUUCAAGCACAGACGAACAUUCUACUUCAGAUGGAAUCCAACGUGAGCAGACAAGGGACGUUGUCAUCCGAUUCCUUAUUGACUAUCUUGCUGAACAUGCUAGUGCCCUUUUCAAGGACUUUGAGGAUGCUGGGGAUGGAUCAACCAGCAUUCAAGAGCAGAUGGCAGAUGAAGUGAUGGCGAUUUACCUGUUGCGGAAAGAUGGGUCAGUUGAUGUCGGCAUAGUGAUUGAGGGCAGCACUAUCCUCUGCACUCUUAAGGAUCUUAAGAGGUGGCGGCCCGUGGCCUGGCAAUGUAGGCGCUGCACAUUGGAGGAUACUUCAAAAGGGGAGCUUCUCAAGCAUUACCAAGUCAAGCACAGUAUUUAUGGAUGUGGCUGAGCUGAACCAAAACCAACUAAUCACCAAUUAAAGAAGAGAGACAGCCCAGUCAUUAAGGACUUGAUGUGGAGAACUUUUGCACAUAGAGGAACAUACGACAUACAAAUGCGCAUCAGUGACAUGAAGCACAGGUGGCCUACCUUGUUUAAUGUCUCACAGGUGAGUAUUUGGAUUUUUUGUGUUAAACACAUUAAGGACUGUAAACAACUACUGUAUGUUUCACAGUUAUACUUAAGUAUGCACUUCAGUUUUUGUUGUCACUGGUUCUUUUGUCUCUUCUUUCAUAUCUCUCUUUCAGGAGAGGAAGGUGCCAGAAGGGAGGUGAAAGGACACCAAAACUGAUGUCCUUGUUUCCAGCAAGGAAAAGCGAUGUCAGAGCAACAAUUCAAGCACAGAUGUGAUGAGCAGGCACAGCAACAGCCACAAUAGCCACAAUCUUACAUACAGCCCCCUAAGUGUAGAAGUUCAUGUGUUGAUGUUUCCAUAAGUGUCAGAAUGUCAUCAAAAUGUCCUUCUUUGUGCAUUUGAGCCACAUGCUGCAUCCAUUUCAGCCAUAUACUCAUAUGCUCAUGUUGAUGUACCCUGAGGUUAUAUAUUUCAAAUAGAGAUUUCUCAGACUCUGUUAGUAGAUAUAUUAUAUUUUAUAUUUUUGUCAAAAAAAUUUUCAUGGUUUGUUUCAUAUAUUAUAUACAACAAGAGGUUCCCACACACUGUGUGGCUCUCAUUCAUUACUUUAGUUAGGUAACGUUUCGGUCCGUUGGACCUUCAUCAGACAUAUUAGGUCUAGCAUACUAGGUCUACCUUCAUCAGACAUAUUAAGUCUAGCAUAUUAGGUCUACCUUCAUCAGACAUAUUAGGUCUAGCUAAUAUUUCUGAUGAAGGUCAAACGGACUGAAACGUUACCUAAAUAAACUAAUGAAUGAGAGCAACACAGUGUGCAGGAACCUCUUUUUGAACACUUUGUUGGCUACACCUGCUUCCUACGCACCUGUGUAUCUUCAGGUGUGCUGAAACUCUGCAUUCACUCUUGUUUCAUAUAUUGACAGGAAGUACUGAAGUAGAUUAAAGAGAAAAUACAUUUUAGAUACUCAUUUUUAUAUAUUUUCUAUAUUUGAUAGUCCAUUAUGACAUUAAAGACAUCAAGUAAAUAUUGCAUAUUUGUUUUGUUCAACAAUAAUCUCAUUUUCUACUUGCUGAAAUUGUAGUUUUGGAACACCAUUACACUGUAUAUAUAUAUGUGUGUGUGUGUGUUUACUUCCAUUUCUACAGAAUUACGUGGGCACCAGUGUCUCCCUUUAAAAGGUGGAAUAUUAUGUGUGCAGGUUUGUGUAGUAGUUGAUGAGCAAAAAAAAACAAGAGAAAUUGUCUAAUAUAUAAUUUAUUUCGAUAACUUCCAACAAAUUUACAAACACCGAUGAAAAAAUUUACAAAAAUACACACUUUACAUCUAGGGGGAGGCACUUGUCUCCUCUUCUCCGGUUUGGGUGCCACAUUCUCUUUUUUCUGUAUAUUGUAAACAUCACACGUUUUAGUGAUACACACAAAUCCACAUUAAUAGAUCAGAAAUUGAAAACAAUACAUUUAUGCAUGAACUUUCUCACCAUCUUCAACAAAAAGACACGUUGCCUCAGCCACCUCAGCUCUUAGCAGAGCUUGUUGGAGACCAAAUUUAUAUUUGGCAAUUUCAGCCCUUUGUCUCCUGCUCACGAGUUCCUCCCGUUCCUUCUGCUCCAUCUCCCUGGUCACAUAGGCCAUAAUGUCAUGGCUCACCUCCACACAUUGUUGAUUUAAUUCAACCCUGGGCACACUGCGAUCUCUGCAUGAAUACUGCACAAAUACAAUAAAAAUUAGAUUAUUUGCAAUACUAGACGCUAUCAUUAACGACAGUGUUUUAAAUAGCUUAUUACAACCUUUACCUGAAGACAUUAACAAAUGAGCAUGAUACUUAACUGUGUAACAGUACACUGUUUGCAAUUGGUUUUAGUAACAACAUUUUUGUAAGAUUCAUACAUUACUACAAUUUAUACACAUAUGCAAAAAUGGUACAUGCUCACUUCAUUCAAGUGACAUCGUAUUUGGCUCUUAUAUAAUACCACGAUCUUGUUAUGCAAUAUAAAUAACAUUGUUUCUUAUUUUUAUCAUGUUAACAGUCAAUACAAUACAAACAUUUACGAUUGCAAUUACAAAUACUUACACUCAACACCUGGCACUGGCUCCUGAUGGAGUCCACCUCGGGGUCAUCUAUGCUGAUAAACCUUGCAGGAGACGAGAAAUGUGCCAUUCUAUAAAGAAAUACAUCACAUGUUAUAUACCCACAUUUGCUCAAACAUUACGUGCAUUCGUGUAAAAUGCACUUCAUUUGAGACAUAAAUUAAUUAGAAAGGAAAAUAAUCAAGUACUUAAUUCGCAGCAGU